rnacentral:misc_RNA from 1 species
GAUGAAGAACGUAGCGAAAUGCGAUACGUAAUGUGAAUUGCAGAAUUCAGUGAAUCAUCGAGUCUUUGAACGCACAUUGCGCCCCCUGGUAUUCCGGGGGGCAUGCCUGUCCGAGCGUCAUUGCUGCCCUCAAGCACGGCUUGUGUGUUGGGCCUCCGUCCUCCUCCCGGGGACGGGCCCGAAAGGCAGCGGCGGCACCGCGUCCGGUCCUCGAGCGUAUGGGGCUUCGUCACCCGCUCUUGUAGGCCCGGCCGGCGCUUGCCGACACAUCAAUCUUUUUUCCAGGUUGACCUCGGAUCAGGUAGGGAUACCCGCUGAACUUAAGCAUAUCAAUAAGCGGAGGA